UACGGAGGGGGCUAGCGUUGUUCGGAAUUACUGGGCGUAAAGCGCGCGUAGGCGGCUUUGUAAGUUAGAGGUGAAAGCCCGGAGCUUAACUCCGGAACUGCCUUUAAGACUGCAUCGCUAGAAUCCUGGAGAGGCGAGUGGAAUUCCGAGUGUAGAGGUGAAAUUCGUAGAUAUUCGGAAGAACACCAGUGGCGAAGGCGACUCGCUGGACAGGUAUUGACGCUGAGGUGCGAAAGCGUGGGGAGCAAACAGG
rnacentral:rRNA from 1 species